GGCUGUGUAGUGUAGCGGUUAUCACUUCAGAUUCUGAUGUCAUCUCGGAGUUCUGGCGACCCCGGUUCGAUUCCGGGCACGGCCU